UAAGGAAUAUUGGUCAAUGGACGCAAGUCUGAACCAGCCAUGCCGCGUGAAGGAUGAAGGUCCUCUGGAUUGUAAACUUCUUUUAUCUGGGACGAAAACGGGAUUUUUAUCUCAAUUGACGGUACCAGAGGAAUAAGCACCGGCUAACUCCGUGCCAGCAGCCGCGGUAAUACGGAGGGUGCGAGCGUUAUCCGGAUUUACUGGGUUUAAAGGGUGCGUAGGUAGGCUUAUAAGUCAGUGGCGAAAUCUCCGAGCUUAACUUGGAAACUGCCGUUGAUACUAUUUGUCUUGAAUAUUGCGGAGGUAAGCGGAAUAUGUCAUGUAGCGGUGAAAUGCUUAGAUAUGACAUAGAACACCAAUUGCGAAGGCAGCUUACUACACAAUCAUUGACACUGAGGCACGAAAGCGUGGGUAGCGAACA
rnacentral:rRNA from 1 species